rnacentral:sRNA from 1 species
CCUCUCUCUUCUCUCUCUCUU